rnacentral:rRNA from 1 species
UACGGAGGGUGCGAGCGUUGCUCGGAAUCACUGGGCGUAAAGCGCGUGUAGGCGGUCAGGCAAGUCAGAUGUGAAAGCCCCUGGCUUAACCAGGGAAGUGCAUUUGAAACUGCUUGGCUGGAGUACGGGAGAGGAGAGUGGAAUUCCCGGUGUAGAGGUGAAAUUCGUAGAUAUCGGGAGGAACACCGGUGGCGAAGGCGGCUCUCUGGCCCGAUACUGACGCUGAGACGCGAAAGCGUGGGGAGCAAACAGG